rnacentral:rRNA from 1 species
AGAGUCUUCGGAUAAUUCUUAAAGUUGUUAGUGGCGGACGGGUGAGUAACGCGUGGGGAACCUGCCUUUGUCCGGGGGAUAGCAGCUGGAAACGGCUGGUAAUACCGCAUAAGACCACGAAGCCGCGUGGCUUUGCGGUAAAAGAUUUAUCGGACAGAGAUGGACCCGCGUCUGAUUAGCCAGUUGGCAGGGUAACGGCCUACCAAAGCAACGAUCAGUAGCCGGCCUGAGAGGGCGGACGGCCACAUUGGGACUGAGACACGGCCCAGACUCCUACGGGAGGCAGCAGUGGGGGAUAUUGCACAAUGGAGGAAACUCUGAUGCAGCGACGCCGCGUGAGUGAUGAAGUAUUUCGGUAUGUAAAGCUCUAUCAGCAGGGAAGAAAGGCCCCGAAAGGGGAGAUGACGGUACCUGAGUAAGAAGCCCCGGCUAACUACGUGCCAGCAGCCGCGGUAAUACGUAGGGGGCGAGCGUUAUCCGGAUUUACUGGGUGUAAAGGGAGCGCAGACGGAGAAGCAAGUCUGAUGUGAAAGCCCGCGGCUCAACCGCGGGACUGCAUUGGAAACUGUUUAUCUGGAGUACUGGAAGGGCAAGCGGAAUUCCUGGUGUAGCGGUGAAAUGCGUAGAUAUCAGGAGGAACACCGGUGGCGAAGGCGGCUUGCUGGACAGUAACUGACGUUGAGGCUCGAAAGCGUGGGGAGCAAACAGGA